GGUUGAGGCUCAGUGGCAGAGUGCCUGCCUAGCAUGCAUGAGGCACUGGGUUCGAUCCUCAGCACCA
rnacentral:tRNA from 1 species